CCAUGUGUCCCAAGCUUCUGUGACCAUCCGGAUUGCAGAUAAAGAGGUGACCAUUAAGGUGCCAGCCGGGACCAGGCUAUUAAGUCAACCUUGUGCGUCAGACCGUUUCAUACAGACUUUGAGCCAUAAGCAGCUACAGGCUGAAAUGAUGCAGUCUCACAUGGUUAAAGAUAUAUGUUUAAUUGGAGGAAAGGGUUGUGGAAAAACAGUGAUCGCUAAGAACUUUGCCGAUACCUUAGGAUACAACAUAGAACCUAUUAUGCUCUAUCAGAUGGAGUUUCACUCUUUUGCCCAGGCUGCAAUGCAA
rnacentral:lncRNA from 10 species